rnacentral:rRNA from 1 species
GAUGAACGCUAGCGGCAGGCUUAACACAUGCAAGUCGAGGGGCAGCAUUUCUAGUUUACUAGAAGAUGGCGACCGGCGCACGGGUGCGUAACGCGUAUAGAACCUACCUUUUACUGAGGAAUAGCCUUUAGAAAUGAAGAUUAAUGCCUCAUAGUAUCUAGGUAUUGCAUAAUACUAAGAUUAAAGAUUUAUUGGUAAAAGAUGGCUAUGCGUUCUAUUAGCUAGAUGGUAAGGUAACGGCUUACCAUGGCGACGAUAGAUAGGGGUCCUGAGAGGGAGAUCCCCCACACUGGUACUGAGACACGGACCAG